rnacentral:rRNA from 1 species
CGGUAAUACGUAGGGUGCGAGCGUUAAUCGGAAUUACUGGGCGUAAAGCGUGCGCAGGCGGAUUGUUAAGCAAGAUGUGAAAUCCCCGGGCUUAACCUGGGAAUGGCAUUUUGAACUGGCAGUCUAGAGUGUGUCAGAGGGGGGUGGAAUUCCACGUGUAGCAGUGAAAUGCGUAGAUAUGUGGAGGAACACCAAUGGCGAAGGCAGCCCCCUGGGAUAACACUGACGCUCAUGUACGAAAGCGUGGGUAGCAAACAGGAUUAGAUACCCUGGUAGUCCACGCCCUAAACGAUGUCAACUGGUUGUUGGGGGAGUGAAAUCCCUUAGUAACGAAGCUAACGCGUGAAGUUGACCGCCUGGGGAGUACGGUCGCAAGAUUAAA